rnacentral:sRNA from 3 species
AACCUUAUGUUGGUUAAUGCUACACCAACAUGACAGGCCUAAUCUUUGGAGUAAAACAUGAGCGAUAAAAUUAUUCACCUGACUGAC